rnacentral:misc_RNA from 1 species
GAUGAAGAACGCAGUGAAAUGCGAUAAGUAAUGCGAAUUGCAGAAUCCGUGAGUCAUCGAAUCUUUGAACGCACAUUGCGCCCUUUGGUAUUCCGAAGGGCAUGCCUGUUCGAGCGUCAUUAUCACCACUCAAGCCCGGCUUGCUGUUGGUGGCAGCGCAGCCGGUCAACCGGCUACGCUCCACCCAAAGAUAAUGACGGCGUCUGCGAGGACUCCUGUACAUUGAGCUUUCGGGCACGUACAUGGCUAGAAGUCCAGGCGCCGGUCGACGUCCUCCGGGACACUUUUUACCAAGGUUGACCUCGGAUCAGGUAGGGAUACCCGCUGAACUUAAGCAUAUCAAUAAGCGGAGGA